rnacentral:rRNA from 1 species
CUGCCCGUCACGCCAUGAAAGUUGAUCACAUUCUAAGACGGUGGGCUGACCCGCAAGGGAGGCAGCUGUUCACAGUGGGGUUAGUAAUUGGGGCG